AUGCCAUGCUUCAUUAAACCGGACAUGCAUCAUAAUUGUUUAUGCAUCAUGCCAUGUCUAUGUGGUGGUUGUUUACUAUGUUGUCUGCUUCUUUCCGGUGUGCUUCUUCGGGUUGUUUCUGGUAACGUCGUGUUUGUGAGGACCCGUUCGACUACGUCUGUUUUUCUUCUUCAUGGACUCGUUCUUUUUCCUUGCGGGAUCUCAGGCAAGAUGACCAUACCCUCGAAAUCACUUCUAUCUUUGCUUGCUAGUUGCUCGCUCUUUUGCUAUGCCUAUGCUGCGAUACCUACCACUUGCUUAUCAUGCCUCCCAUAUUGUUGA
rnacentral:rRNA from 1 species